AAUAACGUAAUUAUUACCUUUGUUUGCAGUUAAUUUAAGAAACACUGUUUCAAGUUUAUCCACAGAGUGUCCAAUUGAAGACGACCAGAGAAGGAUGUUGAAAUAAAGAACUUUCUUAACACACUGGGAAGUUGGGGAACCUCUCCUUCCAGUCACGAGGCCCUGCCCUGCAGCAGCCGACCUGGAAAACCAGACCCCAGCCCCUGCAGCAAUGGGCUCCAGGAUUCAGUGCGUGGUUCUUGAACCUUGUACAUGUAUUAUAAGUUUCUCAGAAAUGCCAAGACAUUACGAAAAAAUUUUAAACCUCUAAAAAAUAAAACUCACA
rnacentral:lncRNA from 1 species